UCCGAGUUGUCCCCGGCAGUCCCCUUAGAGUCCCCGGCAUUACCCGCUGGCAACUAAGGGCAGGGGUUGCGCUCGUUGCGGCACUUAAGCCAACACCUCACGGCACGGGCUGACGACAGCCAUGCAGCACCUGUGCUAGCCCCUUACGGACACCGGCUUUCACCGGCUUUAACUAGCAUGUCAAGCCUAGGUAAGGUUCUUCGCGUUGCAUCGAAUUAAGCCACAUGCUCCGCCGCUUGUGCGGGUCCCCGUCAAUUCCUUUGAGUUUUAGCCUUGCGGCCGUACUCCCCAGGCGGAACACUUAACGCGUUGGCUGCGGCACAGAGGGAUUCGACUCCCCCCACACCUAGUGUUCAUCGUUUACGGCUAGGACUAC
rnacentral:misc_RNA from 1 species